rnacentral:lncRNA from 1 species
UUUCCUGUUUAUAUGCUGAUUUCGUAAAUUUUAUCAAUGAAAUAUCUUAAGUACUAGUCAUUUAGUGGACAACUGCCCUAUAUGAGUCGACUUGCAUUGCAAAUAUUUCAUUGUCAGUGGAUAGCGAAGCAAUACCUAUGCAAGAGUAGUCAGAAAACAGGAGGGUUUUUAAUUUGUUAUCCGAAAAAAGACUGAACGACAAUAAAUAUCUGGUGAGGAUAAUGCCAUUCUCACAAAGGAUUUUAGUUGUUAUUAUCGCAAUUUUACUAAUAUGGAAGGUCACACAGGCAGAGAGCCGGCUGUGUCGGGAUAUACGUGGCAGAUGCAGGGACACCAGAUUGAAUUUUUGGGGCAGAGGUCAGUGUGCCAGACGGGGUAACAACAAAUGUGCUCGCGUUGGUCGAUUUUGCCGAUGCAGAAGUCUGACGCCAAUAUUUGCGAAAUGACAAUUGUUUGUAUUCUGAAAUAUAUUAAACAGUUUUACAAUAAUCAAAAUGGCUAAAAUAUUACAUUCCUUUAAAAUUUGGAAGCAUUCUGGUACUCGUAAGACUAAUAGUGACAAAAUGGAGGUAUAUUUGAAGAUGAAUGCACUAAUAUUCUGUGUUCAUGAAACAGACUUUGAGAAUAUGUGAUUAUUAUAAUAAUUUAAAUAAGAUAAACAAGUGAUGUUUGUUUAAAUUCAAAGAUGUAUCUUUUGUUGAUAUAAAGUUUAAGUAUUGCAUGAUUAAUGUACAGCGGAUUGGUUUUUUCGCGCCUUAAGUUUUAAAUUAUCUGUAUCACCUGGAUAGAUCAUAUUGUACAAUUUAUUUGACCUGUCAAAACUUGUUUCCAUUUAUAUUUUGUUCACGCCUAUAUAAGAUUAACAUGAAAGCCAGAAACAUGUUUUGACAGGUCAAAAUAGGUCAACUAAAUAGUGCAAUACAUGACAACUAAUUUGUUUAUAGGCAGUACAACAAUGCAAAUUUGUUUCUCGAAUAUAAUUCAAUUAAAUUGUAGAAAAUUAUAGAAAAAGUUUCGGACUUGUAAAAGUGAUAAAAGACAAUAUAUCAACAAAAGUUUUGAACAAAAGCUUCGAAACAAGUAUCUGCUGUGUUUUUCUUUCUUAUGUGCAGGAAACAUGUAGCUCCUUUUAUACAUGAAAAUAUUAACUGUUUUAGUUUUAUGUUGAAGUUUUUGAAAAGUAUCGCCAGGUGAUACUUCAGGCAUGUUAUUUUUUGUUCUAUUGCAGAUAUUGCACUUAUUUAAAACAUAACCAUCAUUUCUAUGUCUACUUCCUUAAUGUCUUAUGAAAACUGGUUUUACAAGAACGUAUUUGUUUUUUAAAUGUACAUUUUACGCGAUUGAUUUAAUACACGACAAGGCAA